AAGAGAUAAUAUCCACUCUAGCCUUACUCAUUUAAGGAAAUUAUAGGUAAGUAGAUAAAAAUAUGAAAACUAAUUCAAAACAAAAGAUAAAAAUAUUACGCCCUACACACUUGCACCAUUUACACGAAUUUUAUAUAUAAUUAAAAUUUGUGUAACAUUAUUAUUUACACUGAUUAUAUGAAUUAUGAUUACGGUAAAUCGUGUAAUUGUGUAAAAAUAUAUCUAAAAUUACUAUUAUUCCUAUAUUUUUAUCUAUAUAGCUAUAAUUUUAUAUACUUUAAGGCAUUGCCUCACUUUAUAAAUAGGAGCGGACACACAAGAAGACCGAAGGUGUUUGAGCAUUCACAUCGGUCAACUCAUUCAGGGUGACUCGAGACGAUUUCUCGAUGAAUCGGCCGAUGUAGGCUGCAGGUGACUCGAGGGCGACUCAUCAGUUCAAAAAGGCGUGUGCGUAAAAAUUUGUAACCUCUUGCCACACUAAAAAUUUGAUUUUAGCUCCCAAUUUUUUUUUUUUUACAUCGGCCCCUAUAUAUAAAGAUACUCCAAGAUAAACACCAACCUAGUAUCUGAACCUCAGACAGGAACUCAUAAUUUAUUUUAAAUGCGAAGGAAAUUCAUUCACCAAAAAUG
rnacentral:lncRNA from 1 species